rfam:Hordeum vulgare subsp. vulgare, WGS project CAJW01000000 data, contig: morex_contig_159586
CCGUGAGGGGGAUGAUGUAUUACUAUGAAGCUCUCAAGAUGCUGACUUUUCUUGAAUCCGCAUCUGAACAGCAACAGAGG